UACGAAGGGGGCUAGCGUUGUUCGGAAUUACUGGGCGUAAAGCGCGUGUAGGCGGCCCUGCAAGUCGGGUGUGAAAUCCCACGGCUCAACCGUGGAAGUGCACUCGAAACUGCAGGGCUAGAGUCCUGGAGAGGAAGGUGGAAUGCUUGGUGUAGAGGUGAAAUUCGUAGAUAUCAAGCGGAACACCGGUGGCGAAGGCGGCCUUCUGGACAGUGACUGACGCUGAGACGCGAAAGCGUGGGGAGCAAACAGG
rnacentral:rRNA from 1 species